GAAAUGCGAUAAGUAAUGUGAAUUGCAGAAUUCAGUGAAUCAUCGAAUCUCUGAACGCACCUUGCGCUCCUUGGUAUUCCUUGGAGCAUGCCUGUUUGAAUAUCAUGAAAUCUUCAAAGUAAAUCUUUUGUUAACUCAAUUGGUUUCUACUUUGGUAUUGGAGGUCUUUGCAGCUUCACACCUGCUCCUCUUUGUUCAUUAGCUGGAUCUCAGUGUUAUGCUUGGUUCCACUCGGCGUGAUAAGUUAUCUAUCGCUGAGGACACUGUAAAAGGUGGCCAAGGUAAAUGCAGAUGAACCGCUUCUAAUAGUCCAUUGACUUGGACAAUACUUUUAUGAUCUGAUCUCAAAUCAGGUAGGACUACCCGCUGAACUUAAGC
rnacentral:misc_RNA from 1 species